AGAGUUUGAUCAUGGCUCAGGACUAACGCUGGCGGCGUGCUUAACACAUGCAAGUUGAACGGUUCAAUCCAAGCAGCAAUGUGAGGAUUGGAUAGUAGCGGACGGGUGAGUAACGCGUGAGCAAUCUGCCUUUGUGAGGGGGACAACACCGGGAAACCGGUGCUAAUACCGCAUGAGACCACGGAAUCGAGUGAUACUGAGGUCAAAGAUUUAUCGCACAAAGAUGAGCUCGCGUCCCAUUAGCUAGUUGGUGAGGUAACGGCCCACCAAGGCGACGAUGGGUAGCCGACCUGAGAGGGUGAUCGGCCACACUGGAACUGAGACACGGUCCAGACUCCUACGGGAGGCAGCAGUGGGGAAUAUUGGGCAAUGGGCGCAAGCCUGACCCAGCAACGCCGCGUGAGGGAAGAAGGUCUUCGGAUUGUAAACCUCUGUCCUUGGGGACGAAAAAAAUGACGGUACCCAAGGAGGAAGCUCCGGCUAACUACGUGCCAGCAGCCGCGGUAAUACGUAGGGAGCGAGCGUUGUCCGGAAUUACUGGGCGUAAAGGGUGCGUAGGCGGCAGGGCAAGUCAGAUGUGAAAUCCCCGGGCUUAACUCGGGGGGUGCAUUUGAAACUACCUUGCUUGAGUGCAGGAGAGGAAAGCGGAAUUCCUAGUGUAGCGGUGAAAUGCGUAGAUAUUAGGAAGAACACCAGUGGCGAAGGCGGCUUUCUGGACUGUAACUGACGCUGAUGCACGAAAGCGUGGGGAGCAAACAGGAUUAGAUACCCUGGUAGUCCACGCUGUAAACGAUGGAUACUAGGUGUGGGGGAGAUACUACCUCUGUGCCGCAGCAAACGCAAUAAGUAUCCCGCCUGGGGAGUACGGCCGCAAGGCUGAAACUCAAAGGAAUUGACGG
rnacentral:rRNA from 1 species